GUGCUAAUCCUCCUGAGAGAAGGUAGCAUUCCCUUUGAUAAGGGUGGAAGAGGUCCUAGUGGCUUUUACAACACAUACAUGCUCAAGGCACUGCCACCUACUCUGUGGCAUCUAACCCAUGCAAGUCUAAUU
rnacentral:ncRNA from 1 species